AUAAAUUUUAUAUGUUUCCCAUUGUAUUAACCAUUUACUAUAGCUUACAUAUAAUUAACUCUAGUUGCCAUCCUGGCCUUAGGAAUGUGGAGGUGACCCCAUGGUGAACCCAUGGCACACAAACACAAACAUGGUUGAGGAGUUCUUGUAAACAUUCUUAUCUCUGAUAAUUACCAGGUGGUUAAAGACUCACUAAAGUGUGUCUAGUGAUUUUCCAUGUGUGUGUGUGUGUGUUAAGGGUAUAAGAACAGGCUUCGCCCACAGAUGUGUGGGCUUGUUACUUUGACUUUCAUGUGAGUAACAUGCUCCCGGUAUCGUGAUUAAAGCUGCAGUCUCACACCAGUUGUCUUGGAAUAAUUUUGACCACAUAUUUGGCGACGAGGAUGGGAUACCUAUCUCUGAGACAUAGUGAGGAGGACCAAAGGCGCAGGACCCAACAAAGUUGCAACUGAGGGAGAUCUCUUUGUGAUCUUGGGAGAAGGCCGUUAACAGCAAACAACACUGCUCAGCGGCACCCAGCCUGGCCAGAGGGAAUCCUCCUGUGACUCGGAUACGGUAACACCCGUGUUUGGUGGUCACAGACAACUUGGUGGUGGCGUUGGCAUUUCCACAAAGUUUGCAAAGGACAAACCCAGCCAAGCCAGGCUCCUAGGAACUCAUCAAAGGAUUGCAAAGGAAGAAAACGCUGGAACCAGGACAAGUGGAAAGGACUUUUCGAAGAAUUCACAUCUACACCUACAUGUACAGCCAUAAGGAUUUCAGAGUGGUGAAGAAUCCAGAACACACAUGAACUGAACUGAACAUAACCAACACGUGGUUGCAAGAGAGGGUUGACAAACACAUUUUGCAAUAGACUGAAGAAUAAACUUUUGGGGAGAAUGAAUAAAAUAUCACUAGCAUCACAUUAAAAUAUUCUUUCUCAGUUUAGCUAGAUAAACGUUACAAGUUUGUUGUUUUGGUUUAAUUUUAUUUGGACAGUUACCUGAGGAGGGUCUAAACACCCAAGUCAGCUCUGUUGUUGAAGACUAGGAUUAGGUUUUAUUUUUGGUUUUGAAUAACUGAGAAAACAGAAGAUGUUGAUGUUUGUUUUGCUUAUUAUUCAUCUAAUCAUCCCUUAAGAAAGAAGUUUGUGAUAAUAAUAAAGUCUGUGAGUUAGCCUUCCAUGCUAAA